rnacentral:rRNA from 1 species
AUUGAACGCUGGCGGCAUGCCUUACACAUGCAAGUCGAACGGUAACGGGUCCUUCGGGAUGCCGACGAGUGGCGAACGGGCGAGUAAUAUAUCGGAACGUGCCCAGUAGUGGGGGAUAACUGCUCGAAAGAGCAGCUAAUACCGCAUACGACCUGAGGGUGAAAGGGGGGGAUCGCAAGACCUCUCGCUAUUGGAGCGGCCGAUAUCAGAUUAGCUAGUUGGUGGGGUAAAGGCCUAACAAGGCAACGAUCUGUAGUUGGUCUGAGAGGACGACCGGCCACACUGGGACUGAGACCCGGCCCAGACUCCUACGGGAGGCAGCAGUGGGGAAUUUUGGACAAUGGGCGCAAGCCUGAUCCAGCAAUGCCGCGUGCAGGAAGAAGGCCUUCGGGUUGUAAACUGCUUUUGUCAGGGAAGAAAUCUUCUGGGCUAAUACCCCGGGAGGAUGACGGUACCUGAAGAAUAAGCACCGGCUAACUACGUGCCAGCAGCCGCCGUAA